AAUCAACGCUGGCGGCGUGCCUAACACAUGCAAGUCGCACGAGAAAGCGGACUUCGGUCUGCAAGUACAGUGGCGCACGGGUGAGUAACACGUGAAUUAUCUACCUUCGAGUGGGGAAUAACCUCGGGAAACCGAGGCUAAUACCGCAUAACACUUACGAGUCAAAGCAGCAAUGCGCUUGAAGAGGAGUUCGCGGCAGAUUAGUUAGUUGGCGGGGUAAUGGCCCACCAAGACGAUGAUCUGUAUCCGGCCUGAGAGGGCGCACGGACACACUGGAACUGAAACACGGUCCAGACUCCUACGGGAGACAGCAGUGGGGAAUUUUGCGCAAUGGGGGAAACCCUGACGCAGCAACGCCGCGUGGAGGAUGAAAUCCCUUGGGAUGUAAACUCCUUUCGAUCGGGACGAUUAUGACGGUACCGGAAGAAGAAGCCCCGGCUAACUUCGUGCCAGCCGCCGCAGUAAAAC
rnacentral:rRNA from 1 species